GACGAACGCUGGCGGCGUGCUUAACACAUGCAAGUCGAACGGUGAAGCGCUUGCCUUUUUGGUGGGUGUGGAUGAGUGGCGAACGGGUGAGUAACACGUGAGUAACCUGCCCUCUUCUUCUGGAUAACCUCAUGAAAGUGGGGCUAAUACGGGGUAUUCCGGGUCUGUCGCAUGGCGGGUUUGGGAAAGAUUGCGCCUUUGGGUGUUUUCGGUGGGGGAUGGGCUCGCGGCCUAUCAGCUUGUUGGUGGGGUGAUGGCCUACCAAGGCGGUGACGGGUAGCCGGCCUGAGAGGGUGGACGGCCACACUGGGACGGAGACACGGCCCAGACUCCUGCGGGAGGCAGCAGUGGGGAAUAUUGCACAAUGGGCGAAGCCUGAUGCAGCGACGCCGCGUGAGGGAUGGAGGCCUUCGGGUGGUGAACCUCUUUCGCCAGGGAAGCAGGCCUGCUCCUGUGUGGGUGGGUUGACGGUAGCUGGAUAAGAAGCGCCGGCUAACUACGUG
rnacentral:rRNA from 1 species